UUUUGGACAAUGGACGAAAGUCUGAUCCAGCAAUGCCGCGUGCAGGACGAAGGCCUUCGGGUUGUAAACUGCUUUUGUACGGAACGAAAAAGUCUUUUUUAAUAAAGAGGGCUUAUGACGGUACCGUAAGAAUAAGCACCGGCUAACUACGUGCCAGCAGCCGCGGUAAUACGUAGGGUGCGAGCGUUAAUCGGAAUUACUGGGCGUAAAGCGUCCGCAGGCGGUUCUAUAAGACAGAUGUGAAAUCCCUGGGCUCAACCUAGGAACUGCAUUUGUGACUGUAGAGCUAGAGUACGGCAGAGGGGGAUGGAAUUCCGCGUGUAGCAGUGAAAUGCGUAGAUAUGCGGAGGAACACCGAUGGCGAAGGCAAUCCCCUGGAGCCUGUACUGACGCUCAGGACGAAG
rnacentral:rRNA from 1 species